AAGUCAUUGUCUUAGUAGCGGCGAGUGAAGCGGCAAAAGCUCAAAUUUGAAAUCUGGCACCUUCGGUGUCCGAGUUGUAAUUUGAAGAUUGUAACCUUGGGGUUGGCUCUUGUCUAUGUUUCUUGGAACAGGACGUCACAGAGGGUGAGAAUCCCGUGCGAUGAGAUGCCCAAUCCUAUGUAAGGUGCUUUCGAAGAGUCGAGUUGUUUGGGAAUGCAGCUCUUAGUGGGUGGUAAAUUCCAUCUAAAGCUAAAUAUUGGCGAGAGACCGAUAGCGAACAAGUACAGUGAUGGAAAGAUGAAAAGAACUUUGAAAAGAGAGUGAAAAAGUACGUGAAAUUGUUGAAAGGGAAGGGUUUGAGAUCCGGACUCGAUAUUUUGUGAGCCUUGCCUUCGUGGCGGGGUGACCCGCAGCUUAUCGGGCCAGCAUCGGUUUGGGCGGUAGGAUAAUGGCGUAGGAAUGUGACUUUGCUUCGGUGAAGUGUUAUAGCCUGCGUUGAUGCUGCCUGCCUAGACCGAGGACUGCGAUUUUAUCAAGGAUGCUGCCCGCAUAAGAUCCC
rnacentral:rRNA from 1 species